UCCCAGUAAACGGCGGCCGUAACUAUAACGGUCCUAAGGUAGCGAAAUUCCUUGUCGGGUAAGUUCCGACCUGCACGAAUGGAGUAAUGAUGGCCACACUGUCUCCUCCAGAGACUCAGCGAAGUUGAAAUGUUUGUGAUGAUGCAAUCUCCCCGCGGAAAGACGGAAAGACCCCAUGAACCUUUACUGUAGCUUUACAUUGGACUUUGAACAGAUCUGUGUAGGAUAGGUGGGAGGCUUUGAAGUAAGGUCGCUAGAUCUUAUGGAGCCGACGUUGAAAUACCACCCUGGUGUGUUUGAGGUUCUAACCUUGGCCCGUGAUCCGGGUUGGGGACAGUGUAUGGUGGGCAGUUUGACUGGGGCGGUCUCCUCCCAAAGUGUAACGGAGGAGUUCGAAGGUACGCUAGUUACGGUCGGAAAUCGUGACGAUAGUGCAUUGGCAUAAGCGUGCUUGACUGCGAGACUGACAAGUCGAGCAGGUACGAAAGUAGGACUAAGUGAUCCGGUGGUUCUGUAUGGAAGGGCCAUCGCUCAACGGAUAAAAGGUACUCUGGGGAUAACAGGCUGAUACCGCCCAAGAGUUCAUAUCGACGGCGGUGUUUGGCACCUCGAUGUCGGCUCAUCUCAUCCUGGGGCUGUAGCCGGUCCCAAGGGUAUGGCUGUUCGCCAUUUAAAGAGGUACGUGAGCUGGGUUUAAAACGUCGUGAGACAGUUUGGUCCCUAUCUUCCGUGGGCGCUGCAGAUUUGAGGAAGCCUGCUCCUAGUACGAGAGGACCGGAGUGGACGCACCUCUGGUGUAUCGGUUGUCACGCCAGUGGCAUUGCCGAGUAGCUAAGUGCGGAAGAGAUAACCGCUGAAAGCAUCUAAGCGGGAAACUCGUUCCAAGAUGAGAUCUGCCGGGGCCUUGAGCCCCCUAAAGAGUCGUUCGAGACCAGGACGUUGAUAGGCCGGGUGUGGAAGCGCAGUAAUGCGUUAAGCUAACCGGUACUAAUUGCUCGU
rnacentral:rRNA from 1 species